UACGGAGGGUGCGAGCGUUGUCCGGAAUCACUGGGCGUAAAGGGCGCGUAGGCGGCCGAGCAAGGUCGCGGUGAAAGCCCGGGGCUCAACCCCGGGUCGGCCGUGGCAACUACUCGGCUCGAGCACUGUAGGGGCGGGUGGAAUUCCGGGUGUAGCGGUGGAAUGCGUAGAGAUCCGGAAGAACACCGGUGGCGAAGGCAGCCCCCUGGGCUGAGAUUGACGCUCAGGCACGAAAGCGUGGGGAGCAAACAGG
rnacentral:rRNA from 1 species